AUUGAACGCUGGCGGCAGGCCUAACACAUGCAAGUCGAACGGUAACAGGAAGAAGCUUGCUUCUUUGCUGACGAGUGGCGGACGGGUGAGUAAUGUCUGGGAAACUGCCUGAUGGAGGGGGAUAACUACUGGAAACGGUAGCUAAUACCGCAUAGCGUCGCAAGACCAAAGAGGGGGACCUUCGGGCCUCUUGCCAUCGGAUGUGCCCAGAUGGGAUUAGCUAGUAGGUGGGGUAACGGCUCACCUAGGCGACGAUCCCUAGCUGGUCUGAGAGGAUGACCAGGCACCCUGGAACUUGAAAACGGGCCAAACCCCUACGGGAGGCAGCAGUGGGGAAUUUUUGAAAAUGGGGGCAAGCCGGAUGCAACCAUGCCCGGGGUAUUGAAAAGGCCUUCGGGUUUUAAAGUACCUUCAGCGGGGAGGAAGGGAGUAAAGUUAAUACCUUUGCUCAUUGACGUUACCCGCAGAAGAAGCACCGGCUAACUCCGU
rnacentral:rRNA from 1 species